GACGAACGCUGGCGGCGUGCCUAAUACAUGCAAGUUGAGCGCUGAAGGUUGGUACUUGUACCAACUGGAUGAGCAGCGAACGGGUGAGUAACGCGUGGGGAAUCUGCCUUUGAGCGGGGGACAACAUUUGGAAACGAAUGCUAAUACCGCAUAAAAACUUUAAACACAAGUUUUAAGUUUGAAAGAUGCAAUUGCAUCACUCAAAGAUGAUCCCGCGUUGUAUUAGCUAGUUGGUGAGGUAAAGGCUCACCAAGGCGAUGAUACAUAGCCGACCUGAGAGGGUGAUCGGCCACAUUGGGACGGAGACACGGCCCAAACUCCUACGGGAGGCAGCAGUAGGGAAUCUUCGGCAAUGGACGAAAGUCUGACCGAGCAACGCCGCGGGAGUGAAGAAGGUUUUCGGAUCGUAAAAAUCUGUUGGUAGAGAAGAACGUUGGUGAGAGUGGAAAGCUCAUCAAGUGACGGUAACUACCCAGAAAGGGACGGCUAACUACGUG
rnacentral:rRNA from 1 species